GGAUGAACGUUGGCGGUGUGCCUAAUACAUGCAAGUCGAACGGAGACUGUAGCAAUACUGUCUUAGUGGCGAACGGGCGAGUAACGCGUUGGUGAUCUGCCUCGAAGUGUGGAAUAACCUCCCGAAAGGGAAGCUAAUACCGCAUAGUCUCUCAAGGUUUAGAAAAUUGAGAGUAAAGGAUUUAUUCGCUUCGAGAGGAGCCUGCGUCCCAUCAGCUAGUUGGUAGGGUAACGGCCUACCAAGGCUAUGACGGGUAGGGGACCUGAGAGGGUGGCCCCCCACAAUGGAACUGAAACACGGUCCAUACACCUACGGGUGGCAGCAGUAGGGAAUAUUAGAAAUGGGCGGAAGCCUGAUCUAGCAACACCGCGUGUGCGAUGAAGGCCUUCGGGUCGUAAAGCACUUUUUGGAGGGAAUAGGAAGGAAGGUACCUCCAGAAUAAGUCUCGGCUAACUACGUGCCAGCAGCCGCGGUAACACGUAGGAGGCAAACGUUAUCCGGAUUCACUGGGCGUAAAGCGCGUGCAGGUGGUUUCGUAAGUAGGGCGUGAAAGCUCCCGGCUCAACUGGGAGAGGCCGUACUAAACUGCGGAGCUAGAGGAUGGUAGAGGGAGGUGGAAUUCCAGGUGUAGUGGUGAAAUGCGCAGAUAUCUGGAGGAACACCAGUGGCGAAGGCGGCCUCCUGGACCAUACCUGACACUNNGACGCGAAAGCUAGGGUAGCAAACGGAAUUAGAGACUCCGGUAGUCCUAGCCCUAAACGAUGCAGACUAGGCGUCGGCGGUUUAAUCACCGUCGGUGUCCAAGCUAACGCGAUAAGUCUGCCGCCUGAGGACUACGGCCGCAAGGCUAAAACUCAAAGGAAUUGACGGGUCCCCGCACAAGCAGCGGAGCGUGUGGUUUAAUUCGAUGCUCCGCGAAGAACCUUACCUGGGUUUGACAUAACAGUGGUGGAGAAACGAAAGUGGACCGACCCUUCGGGGAGCUGUUACAGGUGUUGCAUGGCUGUCGUCAGCUCGUGUCGUGAGAUGUUCGGUUAAGUCCCGCAACGAGCGCAACCCUUGCCGGUAGUUACUAACGGGAAGAGCCGAGGACUUUACCGGGACCGCCGGGGACAACUCGGAGGAAGGUGGGGACGACGUCUAAUCAUCAUGCCCCUUAUGACCUGGGCUACACACGUGCUACAAUGGCCGAGACAGAGGGCAGCGAAGGCGCGAGCCGGAGCGAAUCUCAAAAAAGCGGUCACAGUUCGGAUUGCGGGCUGCAACCCGCCCGCAUGAAGCAGGAGUUGCUAGUAAUCGCGAAUCAGCAUGUCGCGGUGAAUACGUUCCCGGGCCU
rnacentral:rRNA from 1 species